UGGCCAGACUCCUACGGGAGGCAGCAGUGGGGAAUAUUGCACAAUGGGGGAAACCCUGAUGCAGCAACGCCGCGUGAGUGAAGAAGUAUUUCGGUAUGUAAAGCUCUAUCAGCAGGGAAGAGAAUGACGGUACCUGACUAAGAAGCCCCGGCUAACUACGUGCCAGCAGCCGCGGUAAUACGUAGGGGGCAAGCGUUAUCCGGAUUUACUGGGUGUAAAGGGAGCGUAGACGGCAGUGCAAGUCUGGAGUGAAAGGCGGGGGCUCAACCCCCGGACUGCUCUGGAAACUGUACGGCUGGAGUGCAGGAGAGGUAAGUGGAAUUCCUAGUGUAGCGGUGAAAUGCGUAGAUAUUAGGAGGAACACCAGUGGCGAAGGCGGCUCUCUGGACUGUAACUGACACUGAGGCACGAAAGCGUGGGGAGCAAACAGGAUUAGAUACCCCGGUA
rnacentral:rRNA from 1 species